rnacentral:rRNA from 1 species
AACGCGAAGAACCUUACCUGGGUUUGACAUGCGCAGGACGUAUCUAGAGAUAGGUAUUCCCUUGUGGCCUGCGUGCAGGUGGUGCAUGGCUGUCGUCAGCUCGUGUCGUGAGAUGUUGGGUUAAGUCCCGCAACGAGCGCAACCCUCGUCCUAUGUUGCCAGCGGGUAAUGCCGGGGACUCGUAGGAGACUGCCGGGGUCAACUCGGAGGAAGGUGGGGAUGACGUCAAGUCAUCAUGCCCCUUAUGUCCAGGGCUUCACACAUGCUACAAUGGCCAGUACAGAGGGCUGCGAAGCCGCAAGGUGGAGCGAAUCCCUUAAAGCUGGUCUCAGUUCGGAUUGGGGUCUGCAACUCGACCCCAUGAAGUCGGAGUCGCUAGUAAUCGCAGAUCAGCAACGCUGCGGUGAAUACGUUCCCGGGCCUUGUACACACCGCUGUA